GAACGCCCUUGAGCAAUCAAGGGAGUGGCGGACGGGUGAGUAACACGUGGGUACCUACCCCAAGGUGAGGAAUACCGGCGAGAAAUCGCCGACAAUACCGCAUACGUUUCGCAAGAAACAAAGCUCGCAAGAGUGCCAUGGGAAGGGCCUGCGGCCGAUUAGCUAGUUGGUGAGGUAACAGCUCACCAAGGCGACGAUCGGUAGCUGGUCUGAGAGGAUGAUCAGCCACACUGGGAUUGAGAACGGCCCAGACUCCUACGGGGGGCAGCAGUGAGGAAUUUUCGUCAAUGGGGGCAACCCUGAACGAGCAACGCCGCGUGCAGGAAGAAGGUUUUCGGAUCGUAAACUGCUUUUCUCUGGGACGAGAACGGACGGUACCAGAGGAAUCAGCCCCGGCUAACUACGUG
rnacentral:rRNA from 1 species